rnacentral:rRNA from 1 species
GACAUAGGUCGCAAACGUUAUCCGGAAUUAUUGGGCGUAAAGGAUGCGUAGAUGGUUCAAUAAGUUACUGGUGGGAAAUCGAGGCUCAACCUCGUGGAAGUCAGUAAUACUGUUGAACUUGAGUGCAGGAGAGGUUAACGGAACUUUAUGUGGAGCGGUAAAAUGCGUAGAUAUAUGAAAGAACAUCAAUAUGGCGAAGGCAGUUAACUAUUCUGUUACUGACGUUGAGGCAUGAAAGCGUGGGGAGCAAAACGG